rnacentral:tRNA from 1 species
GGGGUUGUAGCUCAGAUGGUUAGAGCGGUGGCUUGAAAACCCACAGGUCGGACGUUCGACUCGUCCCGGCCCCACCA